AACGCAUAUUGCGCUCGAGACUCCGGUCGAGAGCAUGUCUGUCUCAGCGUCGGCUCACCCCCUCGCCCCUCUUCCCUCUUUCGGCAAGAGUCUAAAGGGCGGACGUGGCCGUCUCGGGCCUUCCUCUAGGCCCGGGUCGGCUGAAGCACAGGGCUUGCGGCCGGACCCACACACAGGGCGCCAGCAUGGUAGGUGGCUUCAUUGCUGCAUGCCGCUGUCGCCCCACCCGGUGGGCUCCCAUGCCGCGCGGCCAAGCAGGAAGCAUCGAUCGGUGGGCCCCCAGCCCCCGGUCUUUCAACCUUCGACCUGAGAUCAGACAAGACCACCCGCUGAACUUAA
rnacentral:misc_RNA from 1 species